rnacentral:ribozyme from 12 species
CUACUUGUUCUUCCUUUGAUAUCUUCUUCUUGUUCUUCUUCUUCUUUUUACUACUCUUUGUAGUAU